CACGUAGGGCGCAAGCGUUGUCCGGAAUUAUUGGGCGUAAAGAGCUCGUAGGCGGUCUGUUACGUCUGCUGUGAAAACCCAGGGCUUAACCCUGGGCUUGCAGUGGAUACGGGCAGACUAGAGGCAGGUAGGGGAGAAUGGAAUUCCUGGUGUAGCGGUGGAAUGCGCAGAUAUCAGGAGGAACACCGAUGGCGAAGGCAGGUCUCUGGGCCAUUACUGACACUGAGAAGCGAAAGCAUGGGGAGCGAACAGG
rnacentral:rRNA from 1 species